rnacentral:sRNA from 1 species
CCAAGCCCAAACCUUACCCAAAUAUUUUUAAUCAGAUCGGGUCGGGUAAGUCUCACUCACAGAAAUAGUACCGUUAGGCGAGAGAGAAAUUUUAGGGUUUUGGUGCGCCUAUAUAAUCCUCGCAGCGAACAGGGCAUUUCAGCACCGAUUCAGAAAUCUUCACCCCUAUAGGGAAAAUAGUUUCCAGCAUUUAGAUUUCUUCAUUUUUCGUGAAGUAUUAUGUUUGCACGGUGCCUCCCGGGCAUCUCUGAAUCUACAUGACGUGAACGCCCCGAUGCACGUGCGAAAUCGUCGCCGUUCGUGUUGCAGUUCAUCCCCAAUUUUCCACGGUUGAUCUGUGUCAAACUUCUUUUCGAACACGUGUUCUCUGAAUUCGAAGCUAGUCCUAAAGGCGCAAAUCGAAACGCGGUUGUUUUUACUUGGUGCGAGGGUUUUUCCUUUGUUCCUUCGGAAAUGAUCGUUAAAUAACCAUUUCGGUGGUGUAGUUUUAUUUGCUUAUAUAUUUUUAUAUCUCGGCCAUGAUUAUAUAUUAUCCGCGCUUCUGAGUUUUCUCGAUGAAGUCAAUUUGGUUAAAUAUGGUUGAAUUUCUUUAUAUGAGCCAUGUUUUUUUAUAUAUGAAAAUUAUAUAUUGAUUUUAUUUUAACAGUUUUAGUAUCUAGCAUAUUCAAUUUAUGAUUCUUUUUUCAAUAAAUGGCUAUGAGGAUAUCUAUUCAGCUUUAUGCCAGUUCUGCUUCUGAAAAUUUGUGAUUGAUAGAGCUGUUGUAUAUCUCUGAGCCUCCAGCAAUUAUCUUUGUUUUUUAUUUUGUUUAUUUAUUGUUUUUUGUUUUCAUCUACUUGGUAUCUUUUAUUGACAUUGCUGAUGAUGAUUUAAUCCAACUUUAUGAGAUGCUGUGGAGCCAAGACCCUGUUUUCAGGGAGAACCUACUUGGUGAAGCUUCGUUCAUAUGAUAUCUUCGGAUUUUACUGAGGCAUUUUAAUAUGACAAUUGAAUGAACUUUAUAUUUUCCUUUGUUUCCUAUAAUUUAUUGUUAAAUUUGACUACAGUAACCAAUGAUUUUCCAAUCCAACUUGUUAGAGGUUGUAGUUGAUCCAAGACCCUGCUUCAGGGAGAACCUACUUGGUGUUACUAUAUUUCCUAUGACAGCAACUAUUUAUCUGAGGUUGCUUAUGUAGUUCAUUUUUUAGUUGUUUUUUUCUAGUUGUAUACAUUGAGUUUCACUAUACCCUCUUCUUAUUUAAUUAGUUCUGGGUCUGAAAAACUCAUAGAUUGAGUGUUGUCAUCAGCUUCAUCUCUUGUAACUCACGAGAUAGGAGUUAAAUAACAGCACUACAUUUUUUGUCUGUUAUUUUCUAAAUUUAGUUAUGGAAUUUAGUGCACUCGUACAAAAUAACCUUUUGUAUGUUUUUUUUGUACAAACUGAAUCUGAUCUUUUAUAUUUGUUUUCGAUUUGGUACGUAUUUUGUCGAUCAAUAUGGAUGACUUUACAAUAAAAAACAUUAUUAUUAUCUUUUUAUUGGUGAGGUCAUGGCCUUCCACCUAAGUGUCUUAACAUCAAGAAGUAAGUUCACUUUUAAAAGGUUUAUAUGAAUAAGGUCAUGGCCUUCCACCUAAGUGUCCUAUUUAUUGAUGAAGUUCAUCGUACAUUGUAGAACUGGAUAUAAACCUUUUAAAUGGAUAUAUUUAUUAAUGAAUAUAUUACAACACAAUUUGAUGUUAGACCAUUACAACACAAUUUGAUGUUAGACCAUUACAACACAAUUUGAUGUUAGACCAGAAAUGUUGACUAACUCUAUGACACUAACAUAAUAUCUGUCCAAACUUUUCAAAUUUUGAACCAUGGUUUUCAAUGAAAUUAAAACAAUGUAGGUUGAGGUGUAAAAUUAUAUUCCACUCAAGUCAAGAAAAAGAUCAGGAAAUUUCAAGCUGGGCUACUACUAAUUCCACUAACUCUUCCUUCUCCAGCAGACGUUGACUGGAUCACACAAUUAAAGAGUAUUAGAUAUCAAUGAAGGUCCUAUAUAUUCCAAAAUUCUUGCUCACUUUGUACAGAAUUGCGAGGUUGGAAGAGGAGUUCCAUGGUGGAUUCAAACAUAAAGAUAUUUUGAACCAUUUGGACAACAACGAAACGUCUCAACCAUGUUGAUCGAAAUCAAUGAAAUCCUUGAGAUGUUAUAUGGGGUGAUCAAGGAUUAAUAAUUUUUAGGUGUUUUCAAACUCAAUAUAUUAUUAUGCUAUGCGAAGGGGUAUCAAUCACCUGGAUUAAUAAUCGAUCCAUCAAUAUUUUUCAAGUGUUUUCAAACUCAAUAUAUUAUUAUGUGAC